UGGGCUUAAGUGUCUUGAGAAUGGCCGAAACCUCCUCGGCAAUGGCCUCGAGAACGAACUCAAAUUGGGCCUUUGACUUGACGCUUCCUCCUCGUUGGUCUCUAAUGUGUUCCAGUGUAGCAGCGAUGUCGAUCUCUUUGGCUCCUGAAACGAAAACAAAAACAAUCAAUUAACUAAUCGAAUUCAAUUCCAGAUAAUAAAAAAGAAUAGAAAACAAAUUGUUCUCAUUAAUUUUGUCUCUCUAUUAGCGAAUGUAAAUUAAUAUAUUCGGGGGAGAAUCACAUGUAACUCGAUCAUGUGACUUUCUCUCUUGUGGUAAUUUGAGAUUCUUUCAAUUUAAAGAGAAUCAGAAAAAAAAUUUUCUUCUUUUCUUUUCUGUAAUUAAUUAAAUUCUCUUCGUUUUCUCAUUAAUAUUUAAUUAUCUCUUGUUUCAUUUAUAUUUAUCAUUAAAUUUACGAUAACCUGAUGAUCACCUGAACAUCUAACAAGUGAAAUAUUUUCUCUAUUUUAACUGAUUAACUUUGGUUAAGUGCUGUUAUUUAAUCAACUCUCUUAAAAGCUUUUCUAUCAACAGUUUUCCAUCUUUAUCACUUGGAUGUGUUAAUCACCAUCAACAUUUUCCAUGUUCAUUUGAACGAAAGCUGAUUGGCUUUGGGAAGAAGAGAAAACCCAUUUAAUUCAGAAUUUGUGUUUCUUUUUUGUUUCCUCUUUUCUUUAUUUUCCUGGAUAAGCAAAAACUAAAAAAAAAGUCGGUAACUUAAUUUUCUGUGUAAGUGGUAAAGUCAUUGGCAAUCGAUUUGCUUCCAAUUGAUGUCAAUUCAAUCGAAUUAUGUUGGCUAAUUGUUGUGAAAGGUUAUCAAACAAUGGAUAACAUUGUUAAUUCUAAUUUAACCAUUGGCUAUGGUGUUUUCUAUCCUACAAUUUACCAUUAAUUCAUUUUCUUAGGCCCAAGAAGCAACUUUCUUUCUAUCAUUUCUGGUCAUCGAAAAGUCUCAAACCUACUUACCAAUCUGACCUAUUGAAAUACUUUAAGUAAUUUCCUGAUUGAUCAUAAAGAAUCUAGUACCUUGUUAUGAAUCAACUAUUAAUACAACCAUUGAUACUCGAUAAAAAUUAACCCAAAGAAAUGGUUGGCUAAGCUUGGAAAACAUUACCAGAGAGGUGAACAUGGAAUUAGUAUGAGAAAAAAAGGAGAAACUACCAGUUGAAUGUAUGGAAGCAACAAGAAAGUGUAUCAUUGGUGAUUGGUGAUGAAUAAGAAGCCAGAGUAAAGAUGAGAUAAUGAAAGAAAAGUUGAUGAUGAAACCAAUCAUGAAUUAUGAUUUUUACAUAUUCCCCCUGUUGAAAGAAAUUACUCACGAUGAAGAAGAGGAUAAAGAAGAAGGAUAAAAGUGGAUCAAUGAUUCUGAAGAGCUUCAUGCCAACAACACCAAGAACAUUAUCACCAAGAAUGGAAGGAAUGACAACCGAUCAAAUAAUAAUAAUAAUUAUCAUUGUAAAGGUAUUAACUCAAACCUGGAGAUUGUUUUGUUUAGAUAUUUAUAAUGGAAUCAACAACUCGGAGAAGGAACAAAAAAAAGGAACAAAAGAGAGAAUAUUGAAAGAAAGUCAUGAAAGGAAAACAUCUAUUUGUGACUUGGAGAAUAGAGAGGAAAAGAUCUCUUUUUUUCCUCUCAAAAUUCACUUUUCCAUUUAGUUGAUCAAUGAAAUAUUCAUAAGAAAGUUCUUUUGUUUCCUUAUUUUUCCAUCACAUGGUUGUAUUUGGAAUCGAGGAAUCAACUAUCAGAUGAUUACAUGUACAUGUAAAUAUAAAACCUUCGUAACAAGUGAAAUCUACUCUGGCCAAAGGAUAGAGCAAAGAAGGAGAAAAGAAUUACAAUAGAAUCGAGUUAAUCCAUCACCAUAUUAUUGAAAUGUUACAUUCUAUCCACACAACAACAACAACACCAACAAAAAAGAGAGAUGGAAGUGAAUGUUAAGCAUAUAUAAUAGAGCGUCAAAUGAUGAUAAUUCAGUUUCAAGUGCUAAUGGACCGAAUGAAUAAUAGAAUCAAUUCAACAGAAUCAGAUUGGCCGCAGGCAAGGAAAGGAAGACACUAUUGUAAAGGAAGAUGAAAAAAAAGAAGGAUCAAAAAAGUACAAUUGAUGCUGGAAGAAUAAGAAUUAUGCUUUAAUUGAAGAGAAGUUAAAGCUUUAAAUGUUA